rnacentral:rRNA from 1 species
AUUGAACGCUGGCGGCGUGCUUAACACAUGCAAGUCGAGCGGUAACAGGCGUAGCAAUACGUGCUGACGAGCGGCGAACGGGUGAGUAAUGCUUCGGAAUCUUCCCGGUGGUGGGGAAUAACUUGGGGAAACUCAAGCUAAUACCGCAUACGACCUACGGGUGAAAGCAGGGGAUCGCAAGCCCUUGCGCAAUUGGAUGAGCCGAAGUCGGAGUAGCUAGUGGGUGAGGUAACGGCUCACCAAGGCGACGACCCCUAGCUGGUCUGAGAGGACGACCAGCCACACUGGGACUGAGACACGGCCCAGACUCCUACGGGAGGCAGCAGUGGGGAAUAUUGGACAAUGGGGGCAACCCUGAUCCAGCGACGCCGCGUGUGUGAAGAAGGCCUGCGGGUUGUAAAGCACUUUUAGUGGAGACAAAAAGCACAGGGCUAAUACUCCUGUGUCUUGAUUUAGCCCAAAGAAAAAGCACCGGCUAACUCUGAGCCAGCAGCCGCAGUAAUAC